GAAUCGCUAGUAAUCGUGGAUCAGAAUGCCACGGUGAAUACGUUCCCGGGCCUUGUACACACCGCCCGUCACACCAUGGGAGUGGACUGCACCAGAAGUGGUUAGCUUAACCUUCGGGAGAGCGAUCACCACGGUGUGGUUCAUGACUGGGGUGAAGUCGUAACAAGGUAGCCGUAGGGGAACCUGCGGCUGGAUCACCUCCUU
rnacentral:rRNA from 1 species